UACCUACACAUAGUCGGCGCUCUCGAUAUUAAAAAUCAAAAAAAGCAACAGAAGAAAAAAAAAAAAAAAAAAAUACCUAAUUGCAUACGUUUAUUGCUGCUCUGAAGAGGAAACCGCCAGCAGGUGUUCUUCUCCGAGAUAAUUCAGUGCUUAAAUAACUUCUCGCGUAAAAUUAUGUUUUAGAAAAUUAAUUACGUCCUCGUACUGCUUUAACGAUCUGUAAAAGAAUAGCCAUUCCGAUCGAAUUUUGGAUUCCCGCGUGGUAAGCUACGAGAGGAGAAAUUUGACUUCUUUACAAAUCAAAAAUGGGGAUGGAAACGUUCCCAACAUCCUGGAGCAUCCCGUAACUUCAUCCGAUAGGACUAGGCUGGGGUUAUAUGCGACUGCCACUCUAGCCAAUUAAUAAAGGGAAUCCCCGUCAGUCGAGAUGCACGGUAGCGUGCCUGAGGUCGGAUGGGGUCAGUCGACCCAACCACUUCGAUCAUCGACGGGGGUGCGGGUUUUCGACAAAGAGCCUUUCUCUUUAUUUCCAUUUUCGUACUGUUGCAAUGUUAAAAUAUAGUCAAUCAAGUAACAGAGUGUAACUUAUCCUCGGGCUGUUUACAGUCUGAUAUGUCACCAGUUAUGUAUUCAAACAGGUGUUCGACAUCUUCACGCGAAAUCAUAACAGGUUAUUUUAUUGCAUUUCGUGCCUGGUAAUUAUCCGAGGUUUUCCAAUCCUCUGGAAACUGCAAUCCGGACCGGGCUCGCUAACAUUAUUAUAUAUAUUUUUUUAACAAAUAAUAAACAAGAUAGUAUUAAUUAUUUGCUCAAAUUGACGAUUUAGAGAACUUAUGGGUCAAAUGACUGGCGUACUUAUUAUCCGAACUCGCGAGCGUAGCCAUGAAAAGGGGGAAACUCUCUUCCGCCCCCCGCAUCCGUCACGCUCCGCGAGAUCAAUUCGUAUCCGUGGAGGAAAUGGGGGUCGGAAGAGCGCAGAUAAUCUGGAAUGUACAAUUUUUGACACAAAAAUGAUGGAGCGUAUCACUCCAGAUCAUUGCCCACUUUAAAUCCUUAUUCCAACUUCCCUUGGGUCUUUUUUAGUUUUCUUUUUUUUUCGUAGGUAAUCUGGAAGGAUUUACUGUUAAAAGUUGCAGCCUAACUUUAUCCAGUGUCAAAAAAAUCGUCCAAUUGUUUUCUCACCACUUGACGUGUCUAGCCUCCUUUUCGUCUCACGCUAUCUUCGAUGACCCUAUAGAGCAUCCGUGGUCACAACUCCAUUAAAUCUACUUGCGUGCGCAAAACAAGGGUUAUGAAAAAAAAAAAAAAGGUUUAGUUCCUGAACUGCAUGAUUAUCUGUUUUCUCCCAAUAUUGUUGGAUUAAAAUGAUACAAUGUUUUGAGCAUUAUAUUAAUAUUUAUAUGGAAUAUAGCUCUAUAGUGCAAAUUGACAAAUCAAUAUGGAUUAGCAAUAUUAUAAUUAAAGUUCGAGUAUCCACAAAAUAUAUUGUGCAAUCAAUUUGUCCAUACCAAACUUCCUACAAUAACACUUAGCACUUUAUAAUUUAUUAGGACCUCAAUAAGCUAUAAACACUCUUAUUUUGCAUAGGAUCACUAACAUAUCGAUUUCGUCACCACUUCAUGGUAAUACUAAUAUAAAGUUGAUGCUGUUGACUAAUAAUUGGUUUUAUAAAAAUGUAGGAAGAGAACUUCGAUAGUAUUUAAGUGUGCAAAUGUGAGCCAGGAAAUGUAAACAUCUGAGUAUAUAUAUAUACAAAUUUCAUAUUGUGCAUGUUUUGUAAUAAUUAUAGUAAGAGAAUUAAAAAUGAUCUUGAGCAACUCAGUUAUAAAUGCAAAUAUGCAAAUUUCAUCUCACAAAUAUUAAAAAUUGAUUACUAAUAUUUAUUCAUUAAUAAGUAAAUUUGCAAAUGAGAGAUUACCG
rnacentral:lncRNA from 1 species